ACUGCCAAAUUUCAACUGGCACUGAGACUUCUGAGCUCCUUCUACCAACAUUCUGUCCCACCAAAGAGUGAACACUAUAGGAACAUUGAGCAACACGGAGAGGUUCAGCAAGGAGCUGGAGCCAGGAGGUGGCAGAAUCGGGAUUUGAAUUGAGCUGGACUGACUUCGGAGAACACCUCCUUAGCCUCGAAAUCAUAUAGUCUCCAGUUGGCUGCUGGUGACCUCAGUAACAGUGCCUUUAGAAGUAUGGUGGGGACAAUACCCAGAAACUGAGCAUUGAAUGGGAGCUGGUUAAUUGAGAGAUUGAGAAGAGUUGAAAGCAUUUCCACAGAGAAUCACACUGACAAAGUCCAACGAUCUGGCUGGCGGUCAGUUCAAGAUUAAGAUCUCUGGUGAGUGCCUGAAGGAGUCUACUAGACAGCAAAGACCAAGCCUUCUGAGUUUUACGCCUCUGCUCCCACCCGAGUGAACAUAGUUCCUGGCACAUAGAAGGACAUUAUGAAUGAGAGAAGAAAUGAAGGAUUGAAGGGCUCAACAUAGGAUCAAGGACAAAUUCCCACAGCAUACUACUAAAUCCUAGUUUUUAGGUUUAUUUGAACUUUUAGGCAAAAGUCAGCACAGAACUUUCAUUGUGGUUAAGUCAAGGGCUCAUUCAUUUUGUUCAUUUAUCACGUCAUCUAUUUUUUUCUA